AAGUCAAUAAAUGUUUCAUAUUCGAAAUAAAAAUCAACGUAAUUUAUAAUGAAUUUCACAAUUUUUUACGAUUAAUUCAUUAUUUUUCAUUGUUUCUCGUUAUUCUUUUAUUUUAUGCGAUGUAAUUCAUAUUUUUAUUUUGACGAUACAGCAUAAAAUAAAUUAUAAAUUAUGUGGCGUGUACAAAGAAUAGUUAUAUUCCGUACCAAUCAGAAGCGAUACGUAUAACGAAACGUUACGAAAGUAUACAUAUGAGAUAUCACUAUAGUUAGAAAACGAACAUGAACGAAUCACUCAUGAUAAAUCAGAAGAAUCAUUUCAUGCCAAGUCUAUGGAGAGCCACGUGCCAGAUAUUUGAUAAGUGAAAUAAUAAUUCAAAGUGAAAAUUUGAAGAAAAAAAAAUAUAAUUAAAUAAGAUGAUGGAACGAGAGAUGUGGAAUAAAUUAUUUAAAGAAUAUCAAAGGUGGUGAAACACAUUACUGACAUUUCCGACAUGGAUUGUGAGAAUCUGAGAUUCAAUUUUUUGAAGAGGAAGAUGUUCUCUAGCAAGGAAUUUGAACGUAAAGGCUUCAGCUCUGUACAAUCGAAGAGAAAUAUCAAGGCGUGACGCAAGAAUGAGAGCUCCAGAAAAAGUGCGAUAAAUAGAACGACAAAACUCUAAGAGGACUUAAAAGAAGAUCUCACCACUGUUCAGAUGAAGAGACUGGAUCUACUGGGAUCUAUUAACGGACGCGUGUUUAGGUUGUUUCGUAUUCUUAAUAAAUUUUGAGUGAUUUUUCGUUAUAAUUUAUAAAGUAUCAACCAAAAUGUUUCUGUAGUGGAAGUAUGCCUGUGGCCGCGAUUUUAAAGUGAUUGAACUUAUAGAAGGUAAAUCGCAAAUAAUAUUCGAUAGUUUAUCCUCCGCGCGACGCCACGUGAGCUGCCACGUUAUAUUUCUAUUUUUCUCUGUUUCAUUGAAGACAUAGUCCUGCUUUCUUUUAUGUCACUUAAAAAUAGUGGAAAAAAUAUUGUUAUAUAUUCUGGUGACUUUGGUUUAAUUAUUAAAAUUUCUAUGCUAAAAUAAUCGUAUCAAGGGACGCUUGUUGGCCAUAUUGAGUGUUUCGGUGUGUCUCGUUGCGCCAUCAGAUAUUCAUGUACUGUUACUAUUGACUAGCGUUGAGUAUUCGCCAGUACUGAGCAACCGGAGCGUACUCAAGCUUCUAUUACGUGUAUCACCCGGUGUGUUCACCGCUGAUGGGCUGAUGCGCCAAUGCAGCGCGGUGCCGCUGAAUGCCGUAAAUAUGUCUAAGGCGACGAAACACGCUAUUGACACUUCCGAUAUGGACUGUGAUAAUUCGCGAUUUAUUUAUUUGAAAAAGAUCCUCUGGCGAGAAGUACGAAUACGAAGGCUCUGGCUCCGUACAGCCCAAGAGAAAAAUCAAGACGCAAGAAUGGAAAUCCGGGAAAAGCGCAACAGUUAAAACGGCAAAACUCCAGAAGGAAUCAAAGGAAAAUACCACUCUUCAGAUAACUGAAAAAGCAUAUCAAGAAAUCUUCAAUAUCUUUUUUGACUUUGAGAAUAGUAUUCCGAAACGUAUAUUGGAACAAAUAACAUCAAGAGUAGCUAAAUUCCAGAUACUGUUCUGACAGAGUCUAAUUUAUAGUAAUAAUUUAGAAAGUCAAAUAAAGACGUUAUACUAAAGAACAUAAUUUCAGCAACAAACGUUGGAAAGCGCUGUCCAAUCCCAAAAAAUCAUGCAACCGGUUAAACUAAACAUGAUUACGUGUAGCAUGCGGGUAUGCAAUCGCGGCCCUUACAAAUAUGAAACGGGACCCUCCGAAUUCCAUAACGAUAGUGACGCAGGAAUCGCAAACAACUCCGAUAAAACGAAGGAAGUUGUACUAGAGAUCGUCUCGCCUAUAGCAGACAAAUUAAAAGUCAAACAUGUAAAAAGAAUAAGCAGGAGCGGAAUUUCCUCAUGGAAACAGCCGGUCAAGACUUUAUGACUCCUUGAGAAUCAAAAACAGAGAGAAACAGUUUCGUUGUCGAUGUCUCAGCGAGGAAAAGUCCAUGGGUAAUAAUCUAUGACGUCCCUAGAACUGACAGUAAUGAGGAGGUAAAAAAAGAACUUAUAGGUAAAAAAAGAACUUAUAGAACUCUUAUAGAACAGAAUCUAGAAAUAAACAUCAAAGACAAGUUCUGCUAACAGGUAAUAUUAGUAUUCAAAAUUGAUGAAGGAAAAAAGCCCGAGAGAUUCUCAUCAAAAAGGAGAGGAUUUAUAUUGGUUGAAGUUGUUGCAGAAUAUAGGACUAUCUAGUAACGACAUGAUGUUACAAAUGUCAUAACUGCGGACAUACAAAGUAUUAGCGAAAUAAUAACGAGAUCUGCAGUCAUUGUGUAGAGAAAGAUCACGCCUUUAAAAACUUUAACCUUAAUAAAAACAAAAAUCCGCUUUGUUAUAACUGUAAGAGAGGCAAAAAGCCGUUAUCACAUACCGUGACGGACAAGAUCUGCCCCGGACGGACAAGAUCUGCUUUGAAUCACAUACUACUAUGAAUAGACUAUAGCCAGUAAGAACUAUAAAAACGGAUAUGAAUUAUAUUUGGCUCAGCUUAACAUGCGCAAUGCAUCACCCUUGAAAUUAUGCCGAGGAGUGUAUUAACAUUUUGCUUAUGCAGAAGCUGUAUGACUCGAAAAUGAAAUUCAUCACAUUCGAGCGGUGUGUGUUCGUUAUUUCCAGAGUUAAACCUGGCACCGCAGUCAUGGCCAAAAUAGGGGUAUGAAACUCGAUGAUUACGAUUUCCAAGUUGACUUAUUUAUGACGACCACAUGUAUGUGUGGAAAUGGGCCUUCAGCUGGUUGUAUAUAACAAGUAUUUAUUUUCAAUAUUCCGAUAGCGUAGAACCAUAUAUUCGGAAAAUAGAACAAAUCACGUUCACUCUUUUUGGAGAGAAACUAAUAAUAUCGGCUGAUGUGAAAGCAAGAUCAUCUCUCUGGUACUACCAUCAUAUGGAUGCCUGUGGCGAAGAGAUCGAGUUUGCCUUGGCAAGUCUCGAUCUCACGGUACUGAACAAGCCGGGACGCAAACUCUGCAGCAGGAAGAUCGCGCCAAAGUCGUAGUUACAACGCCGAAGAACUGGCAGGACAAUGAGAGAGAACGAUCAAAAAGAAAAAGAUCAAAGAUCAAAAAGAAGUGCGCUCGCGUAUUAUUAGAUUCACUUACCAGAUUCAUACUAGAUGUUAUCUCUCCGCAAAUAGUAACACAUCGAGUAGCGGGUAAACUUCUAAUAAGCCGGACAAUACGCCGUCUAUCGAUAAGAAAAAAAUCCGUGUAAUUAAUAGUAUGAAGAAUGGGAAAGCGCAGGAUCAAGGUUAAAGUUCUUAAGGCUUCCCAUGCCGUUAUUCAUAAAGAGUUGAGGGAUCUCUUUAACGCGUGUCUACGUUAUGCUUUCUUCACCGGGAUCUGGAAAGAAGGCUCAAUUCGUGUUCUACUAUAGGAUGCCGACACGUUUCAAAUCCGGCUUCUUACUAUCCGAUCUGCCUCCUUUUAGUGAUUGGGAAUUAUUUAGAGAAAUUGUUGAAAGAUUUCCGAUGUUUUCGGACUCCCGUUAUGCAGCCGCGAUGUUCGGAUUCCCAAGAAAAGAGUUGACGACAGAUGCGAUCCUGAUUAUGAGGGAAUGGUGACAAAUCAAUGAACAAGUAUGUCCUCGCCAUUCUAUUUAAUCAAGGGAGUUUUCGACUGUGUAUGGUAGCCGAGCAUAUUACAUCGACAUACUGCUAGAGGAGACUGUCCUUCUAAUUGUAGAUUACCUAUGAGGAUGAAUGAUGAGCCUUGUCGGUAAGCACGGAAUUGUUUCGAAAUACGCCACGAGAGCUGCCUAGAGGGAUUCAUACUUGGUCUAAGUUUUUGGAAUCUGGUAUUCGACAAUCUACUUCUCACUCUUGAUCGGAAAGGCAUGCACACAGUCGCAUACGAUCGCAGUCGUAGACGAUCUCCUGAUAAUAGUCUUCGGAGAUAGUUGCAUCUGAAUAAAAAGAAUUGGACAGUCCGUCAUACUUCGUCAAUAAUCAAAGAGUAUGCACAGGAAAAGCUCAUCCUCUCGAUGCAGAAGACCGAGAUGAUUUUACUAAAGGACGCAUUGGAAAAGACUUCCAAUUAUAAGGUUAAGAUGCCAGGUACGAAUGAAAACAAGCGUCAGAUACUGGGCGUAUUUGUAUACAGAUUUGUGAGAGAUGAUGCAUAGGAAGAAUCAAAGCACCGAAAAAUUCAACGCGAUAACGAAAGCGAUAGCGAAAAGGGACUACGGUCUAGUACGUAUGUCUGUCAAUAUUGUACAUAUGGAAUAUUUAUACCGAUAGCAAUAUAUGCAGCGGUAGCAUAAUGUGACAGAUUUAACAAAUCAGAUUUGCGAAUUUUAGAUCAAGCACAACGUUUAGUUCUUACCAAAAUCAUGAAAGUAUAUCGCACAACAUCGAUGAAUGUUUUGUCGUUAAUGGCGGAUGUCUCUCCCCCUCCCCCAAUAGAUCUGAAAAUCAGAAAAAUAGAAAUUAGGUAUUGGAUAAAAGGCAGCAAUGGAACUAAGAAAGACUUUUUUCAUAGCGUGUAAUAAAUAUAUUCAAUGAUAUACAAGAGCGGUUCUCCUCGUGAGGUGGGAUCAAAUCAACCAAAGAAGAUGGAAUAAAUCAAGAGGGUGGCUGACGUACGGCAUUUUCUCGCUGGACAGCGAUUGAUGUAGUAUGAUCGUGUCCAUCCGCUAACUAAACGAAUCGUCUCCUCAAAGGAGUAGAUUCAACUUGUUCCAUACCGCAUAAUAGCCUAUAGUUUUUCCAAGCCCAAAGGUGACAUAACACCUACGCCCGCCUCCCUUCGUAGAGCGAUGUUAAAAAUAUAACGCCAUUAAACAUCUAGCGAGUCAAGUCAUUUAGAAGUAUCACUCUCAGGAGCGGCGCCAUCAUCUUGACAAUGCAUGGUCAAUAUCAAUUAUUCCUAUCUACUUUCGAGCGAAACUACUGCCAAGGGAACGGGCUUGAAAAAAUUAAUUCGGAAAGAAGACCCUGUUGAACUUGACUCUAAUCUGGCAUUGUAAGGAGACAUAAAAAGUGUAGUAUAAGUAGAGAUGGUAACAUCGUCGAAAUAUCACUAUUUUCAUCAUUUCUUUACUUAUUCGGAGCGCGUGCACUGGUAUUUCGACUCGGUUGUCACAGUGUUUUAGAGCCAAGUGUGUAAGAGUGGUAUGGAGGUCUUUGCAGCCGAUCGCCAAAAAUACUCCCGCGUAAUCCGAUUCAAGGACACUGCUAGCUGAGGAGUUUGACUGGGACAAUACAUUUGUCAAAAAAUAACGCAGGUGUUCUAAGACCAGCUCAGUGAGGACAGAAACCUCGUAGAGCAAAAAGAUAAAAGCUGGCUUGAUCUCGAUGUUUAGUAUGCAUAAAAACUGCGAAAGCCUAUCGAUUUUUUUAACUUGAAGAGUUUUCAGCAAGAGGUGUUAGAAAAGUUACCACAGGAAUAACUGGUUUGUGGCGGCCAAGCGUUCAUAGCAAUGUCACUUUUUGAUCCUUUGAUGUCGGCUCUUUCUAUCAUUGCGAAAUAGAAUUCGCCAAGCGUCGGAUUGUUCACUCGCCAACAGGAAACAUGAGCUGGGUUUAGAUCGUCAUGAGACAGAAAGCAAUACGCCGCUGGGAUAUUAAAAGACGGUAUCCGAUACAAAGCAAUACGCCGCUACUAGGGAUUGAAUUUACUAAAUACAAAACCGACAUGACCGGGAACUUUAAUCCAAACGUCAAGAUGGCGCCGAAGCGAUGUAACUAGAGAUAUUAAAACGAAAAAUUGAUGUUAUUAGAAAAUUGAAAAAGUACAAAACAUAUCGUUGAGUCGUAAUGUAUAGUAUAGAAUUAUUGGACAAAAACGAAAGAAAUGUAAUUAUAAUAAUGUAAUGUAAUUAAUAAAAAUAAUGAAUAUUUAUAAUGAUAGAAAAUAUCGAAGGAAAAUAGAGUUGGGAAGGAGAAAAAAGGAAAAAAAACGAAAGAAAUAUAAAUAUUUAUGGAUAUUCAUAAUAGAUAUAAAAUAUAAAAUAAAUUAAUAUAAAAAAAUAAAAUAAUUGUAUUCAUAAAAAUAUUAUAUGCGAGUAUAGUUUCUAUUAAAAAAAAAAGAAAAAAAGAGUAAGAAAGAAAGAAAGAAAGAAGAAGAAAAAAGUAAUGACGACAACGACGACGAUGAUAAUUAUAACAACAACAACAAUAACAAUAAUAAUAAAAUAUUUUUCAGGACCAAAACAUGGAAUGGAACAUAUCUAAUCGGGGAAAUUGAAGAGAUACGAGUUAAAUAGGCGAACGGAUCGGGCAAGUUUGAAAGAUACGAGUUUAACGAACAACCGACUGAUCGGGAAAGUCAGAACGAUACGACUUGAACGAGCGAACCAACAUUAUCGGAGAAUUUUAAACGAUACAAAUAGAAUGAGUGGAUCGACCUGACCGGGAAAAUCAGAGCGAUACGUGUAGAAUGUGCAAACCGACUUGACUGGAACUGGACUGCGCAUACAGCUGGACUAUCUAAUCGACAUGACUCGCAGUUUGUAUAAUGAUAAUGACCGUCGAUCGAAAUCUAAGUUCCAGCAUACCUUCCGCUUUUGGAACGAAAAAUUGAUAUCGAUAAAUUAUGUAGUUUUUCGGCAUGAAAAUUAUUGUAAAUUCGGCGAAUUCUGCUUUGAUAUCGUUGAGAGUGACGUUUUUUAGAUGAUACUCCAGUUACGUUGAAUCCUGCUACGAAAAUUCGAUUUUGAUCAAAAUUAUAGCUUUUCAACGCUAAAAAUGCUGCUAUCGCGAAUUCGAUUUUGAAAACAAACAGAAAUACGAUAUCUAACAAAAACUCGCCAAAUUAUGUUAAAUUCUGCUAUGAAAAAUUGAUUUUGAUUAAAAUUGUAGUUUUCCGACGCUUAAAACACUGUUACUGCAAAUUUUACAUUGAAAAUCAUUGGAGUGAUUAUUUAACAGCGAUUUUCCUGAAUAUUUUUACAAUAUUGAUAAUAAUUUAUUUUAGUUUAUUUGCAGCAGAAUUUGAUACGACACGACGCUUUUAUGCUAAAUCACAUUUCUCUGAUCAUUUUUGAAGAUUUCACUUAAGAGCGACUUUCGUGAGUAUUUUCACAAAAUUUUAUAUAAUCGAUUAUUCAUAGCUAAAUUUACCAUAACGUACUAUCAAGUUUGUUCUAAAUAACAUCGUAGCAGUGAUUUUUAUGUCGAAAUGUUUCAAUUAUAAAAAUUAAAUUUAUUUACAGCAGAAUAAGACAUAAAUCGACGCGUUUGUGAUAGAUCACAUCUUUCGGAUUAUUUACGAAAGAAAUUUCAUUGUAGCAACGUUUCAAAUGUCAAAAAGCUAUAAGUUUUAUCAAAAUCGAAUUUUCGUGGCAGAAUUUAACGUAACUCAAGUCAUGUUUGAAAACAUUACUCUCAACGAUUAUAAAACAAAAUUCGCCGAAAAUGCGAUUUCGUAUCGAAAAAUCUUUAAUAAAUCUUUAAUAAAAUCGAUUUUUCAUGGCAGAACUUAACAUAGCUCGGCAAGUUUGUGUGAGAUAAUGUGUUUCUGAUUGUUUUCAUAACCGAAUUCGCCUUAAUAGCGUUUCUGAGAAAUUACUUUUGAUGAUAAUCGAAUGUUUAUGGCGGAAUUCAACUUGACUUGAGUUCAGAUAGAAAACCUUUAUUUUCCAUGAAUAUAAUUUCAAAGCAGAAUAUGUCCGUAACAGGAAUUUUUUUGUUCAAAUUUUAAAAUUAUCAAAUUCAUUUUUUUAUUGCAUAAUUUCAGUGGAUAGUUUAAAGUGAUGCAUUAAAAUAUCACUCUGAACGAUUUCCAAUUACUGUUAUGGCCUUAAUAGUAAUUUUUUUCUCUAAAGACUAACCAUUUUGAUAAUAAUUGUUUUUUUAGAAUUGGAUUUAACAUGAAUUUGUUCUAGGAAUCGUCUUUCUGAUCGAAUUCUAAGCAGCGUAGCAAUGAUUUUCCUCAGAAAUGCUAUAAUUUUUAUCAAAAUCAAUUUUUCAGGUUUAAAUUCGUUGUAACUCGACGAGUUUGAGCUUGGAAUAUCAUGUUAAUUAUUUUUAUUUUUUAUUCUUAAAAAUAAUAGGAAUCUUGAAAUGUUAAUAUUUGCUUAAAAAAGAUAUGCGCUUUAGUACAAGUAAUUUGUAAAGUAAUUUAAUAGUUCAGAAAAAAAAAUAGAUUAACAGGCUUAAAGGAUUAAAAUUUAUAUAUAACAAUGGGUAAUAUAGUAUUUAUAUAUACUAUGUUAUUUCGCAACAAUAUUUCGCAUGAAAUAUAAUAAUAUAAAUUUUUUUUAUUUGUAUUUGUAAUAUCUCUAUUACAAUUUUUCGUCGAAAAUUUUAAUAUAGAAUGUGAUCUUUCUUUAUUAGAAGAUAAUAUAUCAUAUAGAAGAUAGUAUAUACAUAAUAUCCAUCUAAUAUAUUCUAAUAUAUUGUAUUUAUAUCAAAGUCUAUAAAGACUGUAAGUUUAUAAAGAUGAUAUUAGAUAGAAAUUUGAAAAUGAUAUGAUAAACAAUAUGUAAUUGUAAAAAUAUAUUACAGAAAAAAUUGAAGCUAAAUCUAUGAGCACAAUAAAAAUAAAUCAGAUGAUGUUUUGACAAUAGUAGACCUUUAGAAGCAUUUAAAAAAAAAAAAAAAGAAGAAAAUAUAAUACUAGCAAUUUGAAGAAUAAUUUGAUAGUUCAGAAUAAAAGAAAUCAAAAAAUUGAAAAAAAUUGAUUGAAACAAAUAUAUAAUAGGUAUAGUAAAACUGUCAUAUUUCACAUGAAACGCAAUAAUAUAAAUUAUUGGAUUAUUUAAAAUUAUAUUACACAUUAAGACUACUGAUAUUAGUUUACUAUUAUAUUAUUAGUUUGAUUAAUCGACCUUUUACUAAUUUAAUAUAUAAUCAUAAGAAUUUUUUUAUACUAUUUUGUAAAAAAAUUGAAUUGUUAUGAAAGAUUUGAUUUCAAUGAAAAUUUAUAAAGAACAAUAUAUUAAAAUAUUAUACAUAGAAUAAUUUAUUUUUGAACAAAAAAUUUCUGAUUUUGUCCAAAAAUUGAGUAUGUAAAAUCAGUUCUCAUUUUUUCGUGUUUCGUAUAUAAUUUCUGGAAA